ACUCAAGCGUGAGUAUGACUAGUCUCAAGUCAUUUGGUGUUGGACACUAAGUGAUAGAGCAUAUUUAUGCGACUUAAUUGGCUUGUUCUCGUGCUUUUACGUUGUGUUUCUUUAGUUAUUUUAGUGUUUAAAGUCACUUUUAUGUGUUUUCAGAUUCUAAGGCCAAAGUGUGCAAAAUGAUGUAAUUUGGAGCCUUUUAGAGCAAAAUGAAUGGAUGAAUUGAAGACUUGAAGAAAUUAGGUUUCCUAAUCAACGAAGGAUUCCUAAUUGAAGAUGGACUCCUAAUCACAUGAGGAUUCCUAGAAUAACAAGGAUUCCUACUCCAACAAGGAUUCCUACUCCAACAAGGAUUCCUACUUGAAGUAGGAAAGUUAAGCCAAGGUUUCCUAUUUUGGUUUGACCUUUCCUAAUUCUAAAAAUACUUAUGUUCCAGUCACUUUGAGGACUUCAUAUGCACUUGAGGACACAAAACAAAGGCCCUAGAACCCUCAUGGACAUAUGCCGCACUUGACCCACCUUUCCUCUUCCUUGCCGUGCAAGGGAGAGGGUUAUUUCCUAUUUCCUUGCAUUAAAACACAUUCCUAUUGUGUUUUGUCCCCUUGCCGCAUAUCUUAGCCAAUUUCCCUUAGUUUUCUGAUUUUGAUUUCCUAUUUCUAUAAGCUUUUGACUUAAUUUCUGAUUACCUAAAUAACCUAGGGUUUUAAUUUCCUAAACCCUUUAAAUAAACUUCCUUGUUGCAGCCACAAAAUGACCAUUCACUCCCAUUCAUGCAGAAACCAUCCCACCAUCCUUGCCGCACCCAUCCUUGACCAAUCUCCAUAGUUUCUGACCCUAAACACUUCUAGCCGCACCAUACAUCCAUCCUAAACACCAUUCCACCCUUCUACAUCAUCCAUAACCCCCAAAACUCAUCACAAAACCACUUGUGUGCUGUAGCAAGAAGGAAGAAGGAAGGACCCCUGGAUGUUCAAGCUUCAUUGUUGGUACAUUCUAGGUGUAAUUCGUUUUAUGAUUUCAUUGUGUAAUUUCUUUCCCUUUCGUUUUGCUAUGAACAUGAGUGGCUAAACCCCUAUUAGUUAGGGGUGAUUUCAAAGCCAUGACUAUGUGUGCAAUUUGAUUUGAUAAAUUCCAAUUAUGAAUUCUUAAAUCGUGAAUGCAAUUGGCUUAACUAUUUGAUUAAUAACUUAUUUGUGUUUGUUAAUUAGGGGUCGACACUUAAUUGGCAUGCAUAAAUAUGAUGCUAGAGUAUAAGGAUGUUUCACAUAAUCGUUACAAACUUAUAUUCAUAUGUAGUGAAGGUUGCUAGUCACAAUCGCGUUAAGUUCAAUUCUUAGCAUGAGUGACAUGAUGUCAUAGUUGCAAGUGCUUUGUCACUGCUUAUGGUUUUCAUUGAAUGUAAUGAUCUUUGAUCGUAUCUCUAUUAUGAUGUCAUGUAGGGGACCUUUGAAGAAUGCUUUGGGUUGUUGAAUGAUGCCAUCCAAUCCAAUAAUACAAGGAAAACCUGAGAGUCAGCUAGUGAUGUCACGGCUAAUUUGGGGCAAUGUCGUUCAUAGUUCUAUGAAGGAAUAAUUGGAAAUCGAGUCGUUUGAAUACAUGUCAUGUGUAGAGAAAGAGCCUCUAACUAAUCAAUCAUCCAUUUAAACUCCCAAUUCGUUUUACAAUCUGUUUUAAUUACAAAGUUUUUGUUUUGUUUUCAAUUUCGUCAAAACCAAUCUCCCCUUUACUUUGAAGUCCUAGAUUAGUUAGAAAGUGUUUUAGUUUGUGUUUUUAAGUGUUUUGAUUCAAGUUAUAACCCAAUUUCGUUCAGAUUUAUGUUAGAGUUCAAAACUGCCCAGAAAGUGUUUUUAAGGCAGUUUUGAGUCUUUUGGUUCGUUUUAGUGGUUUAAAUUUUAGUUUGCAUUCUUGGAGUCUAGUUUAGUGUUUUAAACUUUGUUUUUACGUUUUUAAGUCAGUUUUCAAGUGUUUAGCAAUCCCUCCUAAUCCCCGGUUUAGAACGAUCCCUACUUACAUACUUUGCUACAAUUGAUAAAAAGAGGGUUUAAUUUGUGUGCUUAUAUAUUUCGCAUCACUAAGAUAAACACAUAGGUGCUCGAAAGAGUAAUCGAGUACACUGAACUACGAUCAAAAGAGAGUUCGAACAUACAUGUCAUGUAAGAACUCAAUAGUUGCAAUAUGCAAAGUAGUCCUUUGACCUGAGGCAUCAUAGAUGUCUAAUGGUUAGGUCCUUGACCUUUG
rnacentral:lncRNA from 1 species